UACGUAGGGUGCAAGCGUUAAUCGGAAUUACUGGGCGUAAAGCGUGCGCAGGCGGUUUUGUAAGUCUGAUGUGAAAUCCCCGGGCUCAACCUGGGAAUUGCAUUGGAGACUGCAAGGCUAGAAUCUGGCGGAGGGGGGUAGAAUUCCACGUGUAGCAGUGAAAUGCGUAGAGAUGUGGAGGAACACCGAUGGCGAAGGCAGCCCCCUGGGUCAAGAUUGACGCUCAUGCACGAAAGCGUGGGGAGCAAACAGG
rnacentral:rRNA from 1 species